GAAGGGGAUGCUCGCGAUUUGUCCGGCCAGCUUGCGGCGAGCUAAAAGAACCGCGCUAAACGGCCGAGGCGGUAUGCGU
rnacentral:ncRNA from 2 species